GACACACUGGAGUCUCGUAUGGGAGG
rnacentral:piRNA from 1 species